GACGAACGCUGGCGGCGUGCUUAACACAUGCAAGUCGAACGGAAAGGCCCUGCUUUUGUGGGGUGCUCGAGUGGCGAACGGGUGAGUAACACGUGAGUAACCUGCCCUUGACUUUGGGAUAACUUCAGGAAACUGGGGCUAAUCCCGGAUAGGAGCUCCUGCUGCAUGGUGGGGGUUGGAAAGUUUCGGCGGUUGGGGAUGGACUCGCGGCUUAUCAGCUUGUUGGUUGGGUAGUGGCUUACCAAGGCUUUGACGGGUAGCCGGCCUGUGAGGGUGACCGGCCACAUGGGGACUGAGAGACGGCCCAGACUCCUACGGGAGGCAGCAGUGGGGAAUAUUGCACAAUGGGCGGAAGCCUGAUGCAGCAACGCCGCGUGCGGGAUGACGGCCUUCGGGUUGUAAACCGCUUUCGCCUGUGACGAAGCGUGAGUGACGGUAAUGGGUAAAGAAGCACCGGCUAACUACGUG
rnacentral:rRNA from 1 species